GCCUAAAUGUAAACCUUUAUUUACAUCACCAUCGCCAGGAUACUACAAGCCACGCUUAAAAACCAAGGGACUUGACGGUAUCUCAUACCCCACUAGAGGAGCCUGUCGCACAAUCGAUAACCCCCGCUAAACCUCACCACUCUUAGCUUAUUCAGCCUGUAUACUUCCGUCGCAGCCUAUCAUAUGAGUGAAUCUUAAUAGGCCAAAUGAUUUUCAUCAAUACGUCAGGUCAAAGUGCAGCCAACAGAGCGGAAGCAGAUGGGCUACAUUUUCUAAGUUAGACCAUACGAAAGAUUAAAUGAAACAUAAUCAGAAGGUGGAUUUAGUAGUAAGGGCAAAACAGAGAGCUCCCCUUAAUACAGGCACUGGGAUGUGUACAAACCGCCCGUCACCCUCUUCAAAUCUAAACAAUAGUAUCUAACAUCAUUAAAACAACAGAAGAGGUAAGUCGUAACAUGGUAAGUGUACCGGAAGGUGCUCUUGGAAAC
rnacentral:rRNA from 1 species